UCAUGACGUUAACUUUCUCUUCCAGUGAUUCACUCUCUGAAGUAUUUCUACACUGCGUCUACUGGAGUCCCAAACUUCCCAGAGUUUGUGUCUGUUGGGUUUGUUGAUGAAGUUGUGAUAGAUCACUAUGACAGUAACACCAGGAGAACAGAACCCAAACAGGACUGGAUGAACAAAGUCACAGAUGAUGAUCCUCAGUACUGGGAGAGAGAGACUGAGAUCUUUAAAGAUUCCCAGCAGACCUUCAAAUCCAACCUUGAAGUUGUAAAGCAGCGCUUCAACCAAACUGGAGAUGUCCACAUUUACCAGUGGAUGUAUGGCUGUGAAUGGGACGAUGAGACUGAGGAGGUUAAAGGUUAUGAACAGUUUGGUUAUGAUGGAGAAGACUUCAUAUCAUUGGACCUGAAGACAGAGACAUGGGUCGCUCCAAAACCACAGGCUGUCAUCACCAAACACAAGUGGGAUAAUAACAAAGCUUGGAUAGCACAGACUAAACACUACCUCACCAAGAUUUGUCCUGAGUGGCUGAAGAAGUAUGUGAACUAUGGGAGGAGCGUUCUGCUGAGAACAGAGCUUCCCUCAGUGUCUCUCCUCCAGAAGACUCCCUCCUCUCCAGUCAGCUGCCACGCUACAGGUUUCUACCCUGACAGAGCCACACUGUUCUGGAGGAAAGAUGGAGAGGACCUUCAUGAGGACGUGGACCUCGGAGAGAUCCUCCCCAACCACGAUGGAACCUUCCAGAUGAGUGCUGACCUGAAACUUUCAUCAGUCCCACCUGAAGACUGGACGAGGUACGACUGUGUGUUUCAGCUCUCUGGUGUGAAGGACGACCUCGUCACCAGACUGGACAAAGCAGUGAUCAGGACCAACAGAGAGCUUCCCUCAGUGUCUCUCCUCCAGAAGACUCCCUCCUCUCCAGUCAGCUGCCACGCUACAGGUUUCUACCCUGACAGAGCCACACUGUUCUGGAGGAAAGAUGGAGAGGACCUUCAUGAGGACGUGGACCUCGGAGAGAUCCUCCCCAACCACGAUGGAACCUUCCAGAUGAGUGCUGACCUGAAACUUUCAUCAGCUGAAGAUCGGACGAGGUACGACUGUGUGUUUCAGCUCUCUGGUGUGGAAGACCUCGUCACCAAACUGGACAAAGCAGUGAUCAGGACCAACAGAGAGAAAGAGAAGCCCACUGACAUGACCGUCCCCAUCAUCGCUGCAGUGGUUGUUCUUGCUCUCGUCCUCAUCGCUGUGAUUGGAGUCGUCAUUUAUAAAAAGAAGAACGUCUUGUCUUUUUAUUUCAGCCAAACGCCCUCCAUCUCCUGUAAACAACGCUGAGGUCUUGGAGGAACUGAAUCCAGGAUCCUAAAUGAUGAACACACCAGCCUGCACACAGUUUAUGGAUACAUUCUGCACUGGAUCAAGGAGCGGUGCCACAUUCUCCUCCCUAAACUGGGAAUUCAUUGGUUAUUCUUCAUUCAUAUCAUAAACUGGUGGAAUCAGGGUUGGGAAUUUAUUUGUAGUUGAUUGGAAUACAAAGAAAACUAAUUAGAAAAAAAUACAAAUAUUAUCAAACAUAAAUGGAGACAUUAAAUUAUUUGGAUUAUUUAGUUUCAUUAAAAAAAAAAGUGUCAUUUCCUCUGAUAAAAUAUUUGUUUAAAUGUUGGUAAAUCAAAUGAGGAUGAUUAUUUUUGGAGAGAAGUAAAACAAUGAAAGCAUCACAGAACUCUUCAUACAUAAUAAAGACUAAACAAUAAAUCCACCAUAGUUACAGUUUGAUGCUUCUGCUGUUGGGGUUUUCUGCUUAGUGGUAACACAAACGUUAAUUUACAGAUAUAGACACCAUAGAAAUAUUUCUAUGAUAGACACACACACACAUCCACGUACACUCAGGUCUGUCAAUAUGAUGAUAUAUAUACCUAGAGAUAACAGAUAGUCAAUACUGCUAAUCAAUCAGCAGCAUCCAGUGAUGAUCCCCUAUGCACACACACACACACACACACACACACACACACACACACACACACACAAUAGAAACAUCAGUGCAACAUUUAUUAUCCAGUUGUGUAAAUAGUUUGUUUGAUUAUUUCUGAAUUUUGAAGAUCUUGUUUUUCCAAAGCAAAUAAUAAUCCAUGUCUUUGAGGUUUUUCUUAAUUAAUCAGGAGUGUGUUGUUGUUUCAUAAUAUCUGUUGAUCUGUUUUGACACAUUAAUAUAUUUUAAUGUUAGCUGAGCUUCUAAAGGGUUGUGGGAUGUUUGAAGUUUCUCAGCACACUGAUAGAAAUGUUGUUGUAAAUGUAAACAGCGAUGCUCAAAAUCACGUCUUGUGUUGGGUUAAGUCAGCGGUCAGCAACCUGCGUCUCUUUAGCCCCUCUCCAGUGGCUUUGACAACAAAAAUAUAUAUGGAAAUGAAUAACAGUUAUUUUUUAAACAUCAUUGUUGUAGACCUAAAGUGUGUCUUACAUUCUCUAAUUUAAAAAAAAAUAUAUAUAUAUGUAGCCUAUACACUGAAUAAAAAUGUCAUCACUUCAAUCAACUAAAACGUGCAUCAUAGCCUAUGUAUGUUUGUCUUCAGCCCGGCGCCUUAUCCUCUAAUUUUGCUGAACCUUAAUAGCUCAAUAGGCUCGCUGUCGAUUCCAAAUCCCAAAGAACAAAAGUCUCUGAGUAAUUUAAUAGUGCGCGGACAGAUUCAACAAUAAAACAGUAAUAUUGAAAGACAUCUUCAGAAGAAGCUCACUGCAUCUGCUGAAUAUAUUCCAGCAGGAGCUUCCAGCCAAAUGUCCUGCGUCUCUUUUGGACUUGUGUCCUCACUGCAUUAGACUUAACAGUCUGUGUUUCCUUUGAUAGUAAAGGUUGCUGACCCCUGGGUGAACUAGAUGAACGUGAAUGAAGUUGCUCUGCUGUUUUACUCCUUUUGUACUGUUUUGCUUUUCAAUAAAUUGGCCAAAAUUACAAA